UACGGGGGGGGUAAGCGUUGUUCGGAAUUACUGGGCGUAAAGGGCUCGUAGGCGGCCAACUAAGUCGGCCGUGAAAUCCCUCAGCUUAACUGGGGAACUGCGUCCGAUACUGGAUGGCUUGGAUUUGGGAGAGGGAUGCGGAAUUCCAGGUGUAGCGGUGAAAUGCGUAGAUAUCUGGAGGAACACCGGUGGCGAAGGCGGCAUCCUGGACCAACAUUGACGCUGAGGAGCGAAAGCUAGGGGAGCAAACGGG
rnacentral:rRNA from 1 species